rnacentral:rRNA from 1 species
GUACCCUAGCGGGAUUUUUUACACAUGCAAGUCGAACGGCAGCGCGAGAGAGCUUGCUCUCUUGGCGGCGAGUGGCGGACGGGUGAGUAAUAUAUCGGAACGUGCCCAGUAGCGGGGGAUAACUACUCGAAAGAGUGGCUAAUACCGCAUACGCCCUACGGGGGAAAGGGGGGGAUCGCAAGACCUCUCACUAUUGGAGCGGCCGAUAUCGGAUUAGCUAGUUGGUGGGGUAAAGGCUCACCAAGGCAACGAUCCGUAGCUGGUUUGAGAGGACGACCAGCCACACUGGGACUGAGACACGGCCCAGACUCCUACGGGAGGCAGCAGUGGGGAAUUUUGGACAAUGGGGGAAACCCUGAUCCAGCCAUCCCGCGUGUAUGAUGAAGGCCUUCGGGUUGUAAAGUACUUUUGGCAGAGAAGAAAAGGUAUCCCCUAAUACGGGAUACUGCUGACGGUAUCUGCAGAAUAAGCACCGGCUAACUACGUGCCAGCAGCCGCGGUAAUACGUAGGGUGCAAGCGUUAAUCGGAAUUACUGGGCGUAAAGCGUGUGUAGGCGGUUCGGAAAGAAAGAUGUGAAAUCCCAGGGCUCAACCUUGGAACUGCAUUUUUAACUGCCGAGCUAGAGUAUGUCAGAGGGGGGUAGAAUUCCACGUGUAGCAGUGAAAUGCGUAGAUAUGUGGAGGAAUACCGAUGGCGAAAGGCAGCCCCCUGGGAUAAUACUGAC